rnacentral:rRNA from 1 species
UACGAAGGUGGCGAAUGUUGCUCGGGUUCACUGGGCGUAAAGCGUCUGUAGGUGGCUUGUUAAGUUAGAGGUGAAAGCCCCGCGCUCAACGUGGGAACUGCCUUUAAACUAGGCGAGCUUGAGAGUAUCGAGAGGAAGGUCGGAAUAACUGGUGUAGAGGUAAAUUCAUAGAUAUUCGGAAGAACACCAGUGGCGAAGGCGGCUAACUGGCCCAUACUGACGCUGAGGCUCGAAAGCGUGGGGAGCAAACAGGAUUAGAUACCCUGGUAGU